AUUGAACGCUGGCGGCAUGCUUUACACAUGCAAGUCGAGCGGCAGCGCGGGGGGCAACCCUGGCGGCGAGCGGCGAACGGGUGAGUAAUGCAUCGGAACGUAUCCUGUAGUGGGGAAUAACUCACCGAAAGGUGAGCUAAUACCGCAUAAGCUCUGAGGAGGAAAGCGGGGGACCGAAAGGCCUCGCGCUGCAGGAGCGGCCGAUGUCCGAUUAGCUAGUUGGUGAGGUAAAGGCUCACCAAGGCGACGAUCGGUAGCUGGUCUGAGAGGAUGAUCAGCCACACUGGGACUGAGACACGGCCCAGACUCCUACGGGAGGCAGCAGUGGGGAAUUUUGGACAAUGGGGGAAACCCUGAUCCAGCCAUGCCGCGUGAGUGAAGAAGGCCUCGGUUGUAAAGACGUCUUUCGGUACGGAACGAAAUUAGCUUGGACGUAAUACUCUGAGUAGAUGACGGUACCGUAAGAAGAAGCA
rnacentral:rRNA from 1 species